GAUGCCUUUAGAACAAUGACCAUAUCUUUUUUUAUCUCCAUUGCUCCAGCAUCUAGUACAACGUCUGCAAUGGAACAGGCAAGCUGUGAAUAUUUGUGAUAUGCUUGGGUGGACUAAAGACCCAUCGCCUCUCUCUAGAGUGCCCAGCGUGUUGGAGCAUGUGAAGCACUAUAUGAGCUGCUGAGGAUACAGGAAUAAACAACAACACAGGUGUGUCCUCUGCCCAAACCAGGCAUAAAUGAGCUUCCAAAUGAACACAAACAAACCUGGAAGGCUUUUGAGGAAGAAGGACCAUUACAAAAAGUACAGAGCGAAUGUGUUGAGAUCAUGUUUAUCAAUCAUUGAAGUAACUAUUCUCCACAAUUUCAAUGAUUCUCCAGCCAAUAUACUAUUACCCCUCCUUAUUAAAAUAAAAAUGAAAAACCCUA